rnacentral:rRNA from 1 species
GACGAACGCUGGCGGCGUGCUUAACACAUGCAAGUCGAACGGAAAGGCCCCUUCGGGGGUACUCGAGUGGCGAACAGGUGAGUAACACGUGAGUAACCUGCCCUUGACUUCGGGAUAACUUCAGGAAACUGGGGCUAAUACCGGAUAGGAAUCCUUGCUGCAUGGUGGGGGUUGGAAAGCUUCGGCGGUUUUGGAUGGACUCGCGGCUUAUCAGCUUGUUGGUGGGGUAGUGGCUUACCAAGGCUUUGACGGGUAGCCGGCCUGAGAGGGCGACCGGCCACAUUGGGACUGAGAUACGGCCCAGACUCCUACGGGAGGCAGCAGUGGGGAAUAUUGCAAAAUGGGCGGAAGCCUGAUGCAGCAACGCCGCGUGCGGGAUGACGGGCUUCGGGUUGUAAACCGCUUUCAGCAGGGGCGAAGCUUGUGGUGACGGUACCUGCAGAAGAAGCACCGGCUAACUACGUG